GUGGGGAAUCUUCCGCAAUGGACGAAAGUCUGACGGAGCAACGCCGCGUGAGUGAAGAAGGUUUUCGGAUCGUAAAGCUCUUUCGUUAGGGACGAACGUGCUCUUUGUGAAUAAUGAGGAGUAAUGACGGUACCUAAAUAAGAAGCCACGGCUAACUACGUGCCAGCAGCCGCGGUAAUACGUAGGUGGCAAGCGUUGUCCGGAAUUAUUGGGCGUAAAGCGCGCGCAAGCGGGAUAUCAAGUCUGUCUUAAAAGUGCGAGGCUCAACCUCGUGAGGGGACAGAAACUGGUAUUCUUGAGUGUCGGAGAGGAAAGUGGAAUUCCAAGUGUAGCGGUGAAAUGCGUAGAGAUUUGGAAGAACACCAGUGGCGAAGGCGACUUUCUGGACGAUGUCUGACGCUGAGGCGCGAAAGCUAGGGGAGCGAACGGGAUUAGAAACCCCGGUAGUCC
rnacentral:rRNA from 1 species